UCCCUAGGUGGGCAUUGAAGCUCCUGA
rnacentral:sRNA from 1 species